UGUACACAAUACAUUUUCGGCAGCCGACAUGCACUUAAAGAAUUGAACAGUUACUUAAUAUACGGAUAUAUUUAUAUUUUGUAUAUUAUUGUAUAUUUAUAUGUAGCUCCAAUGUGGCAUUGCUUAAAAUGUACAAAAGCUUUUAAGUUCGUUCAUAUUCCAGCACAAAAAUGGUUUUACGAUUUGUUUUAAAUUUGAAUAACACUAAUAGAUUUGGUUUUUGUUUAAAUUCUACGAUGCAGUAAUAUUUUGCAUAGGAGUUGGUUUGGUCUCAUACUAAAAGUAUGUGCGCACAAACACUUUCGAGCGAUCGGGCGAGCAAGUUCAUACAAUACGAGUAUAAUCCAAAAAGGAGCGUAUAUGCUAUAUACGUGAGCCAGCAAGAGAAUUCAAAUGAAAACAUACAACAGCAUCGGCGCAAAGAGAGACUAAUACAAGACACCAUUACCCCAAUGAAAAAAGAAAAAAACGCUCAAUGAGCAAAAUGCGAGCGCAAAUGGCCAACAACACUUACUAAUGAUAUUUAUAUGUAGUGGUGGAUAUGUGGGAGUAGGAGAUGAAGGUCGAAAGUGGAGCGACAAUACAACCAAUGAGACAACGAGGCGAGUUAAGGAGUCAACGCGCUUGCGAGGAAUGUAAAUGAGCGAGAUCAUAAUGAAGUGAUGAGAAAUGAAUAUAAAUGAAGAAUAAAAUUGUUGGGAUUGAAAUGUGAGCAAUUGAGAGAGCGCAAAUGGAUGUUUAUGAUAUUAAAAUAAAACGGUGAAAUUAUUGAUAUGAAAUGAUGCGGACCCAAAAUAUUUUAUUAAAGACAGGCCACUGACACCGAAGCUACAAUGCCCGCCGAUUGAGAAGCCCCGCUGCGACCUUCCUGGCAGAACUGAGUGCAC